AACAGUAACGGAGGCGCCCAAAGGUUCCCUCAGAAUGGUUGGAAAUCAUUCGUAGAGUGUAAAGGCAGAAGGGAGCUUGACUGCGAGACUUACAAGUCGAGCAGGGACGAAAGUCGGGCUUAGUGAUCCGGUGGUUCCACAUGGAAGGGCCAUCGCUCAACGGAUAAAAGCUACCCUGGGGAUAACAGGCUUAUCUCCCCCAAGAGUUCACAUCGACGGGGAGGUUUGGCACCUCGAUGUCGGCUCAUCGCAUCCUGGGGCUGGAGUUGGUCCCAAG
rnacentral:rRNA from 1 species